rnacentral:misc_RNA from 1 species
AAAAAUGAGAAGAGAUAUGAGAUCACUACUCUAAACUAUGCAGCAAAUAAUUCAAUUGUGACCAUCAACCUCAUAUCUCUUCUCAUUUUUUUUAUUGGAUAUUUACUUUGUGUUCUUGAAUUGUUCAACCACUUUUUAUUUAAAGUUAGAUAAGAUUUCUUCUUUCAACUUAAAUAUCAAUAUUUUUAAAGGGUAUUUUGGUUAAGAUUUUCUUCUUUUCUUGAAAGUCUUUCCAAUUUUUUAUUUUUUUUUGGGAAUGACGAUAAAAAUGAUAGCAAUUUUUGGUAUUGUGAUAUUGGCACUAAUUUAUAAGGCAAUUAUUCCACCAUCACCAAAGAUUUGUGGUUCACCAAAUGGACCUUUAAUUACAGCACCAAGAAUUAAGCUUUCUGAUGGGAGAUAUUUGGCUUAUAAAGAAAAUGGUGUUCCUAGAGAUGAAGCAAAACACAAAUUUGUAUUCAUUCAUGGCUUUGAUUGUGUUAGACAUGAUGUUGCUUUGCUCACAACUAUUUCUCCUGAGGUUAUGCGAAGUUUGGGAAUCUAUAUUGUGUCAAUUGAUAGACCUGGUUAUGGUGAAAGUGAUCCUCAUCCACAAAGAACACCAAAGACCUUAGCUCUUGAUAUUGAAGAAUUAGUUGAUCAAUUGGAAUUGGGACCUAAAUUUUAUGUUAUAGGAUUUUCUAUGGGUGGACAAGCUGUUUGGGGCCUUCUCAAGUAUAUUCCUCACAGAUUGGCUGGAGCAAUUCUUCUAACACCAGUGACUAACUACUGGUGGGGUAGUUUCCCAGCAAACUUGACUAAACAAGCGUACUACGAACAGCUCGUGCAGGAUCAAUGGACGUUGCGGAUUGCACACUACUUACCAUGGCUGACUUACUGGUGGAACACUCAAAGAUUGUUUCCUUCUUCCAGCGUUGCAACGUUCAGUGAGGAUAUUCUGUUCGAGCAAGACAGAGUUCUAAUGCCUAUCUUUGAUUCGUAUCAGAGUAAAUAUCGGGACUUGGUAAGACAGCAAGGGGAGUACGAGUCCAUCCAUCGCGACAUAAUGAUAGGGUUCGGGACAUGGGAGUUUGAUCCGAUGGAACUAGAAAAUCCAUUCCCUAACGGGGAAGGCUCCGUUCACAUCUGGCAAGGCGAUGAAGACGGGCAUGUACCAGUCAUUCUACAACGAUUCAUCGCGAAGAAACUACCAUGGAUUCACUAUCAUGAAAUGAAAGGUGGAGGUCAUAUGUUUCCAUGGGCUGAAGGAAUGGGAGAUAAAGUUAUGAAGACAUUUUUACUUGGAGAGCCUUUUGUUAUGUAAAAGCUAUAAAGGGCUUUUAGUGUUGGCUUCAAUGACUACUUUUGUCAUUGAACAAAUUUGAAUAUGUUGUUAAUAAUUAAGUUUACUUAAGUUGAUUUUAGCUAUGUCGCUCAAACUUUUAAAACUUAUUGUCCUUCAAAAGCUAUGAAUUUUUUAAAGAGUUCGAGCAACGAAUGUUCUCGGUUAAGUAGAUGAUAAAUCUAUAUUAUGGGGAU